rnacentral:rRNA from 1 species
GGGGAAUUUUCCGCAAUGGGCGAAAGCCUGACGGAGCAAUACCGCGUGAGGGAGGACGGCUUUUGGGUUGUAAACCUCUUUUAUCAGGGAAGAAUCGAUGACGGUACCUGAUGAAUCAGCAUCGGCUAACUCCGUGCCAGCAGCCGCGGUAAUACGGAGGAUGCAAGCGUUAUCCGGAAUUAUUGGGCGUAAAGCGUCCGUAGGUGGUUUAUCAAGUCUGCUGUCAAAGCGUGCGGCUUAACCGCAUAAGGGCAGUGGAAACUGAUGAACUAGAGUGCGAUAGGGGUAACAGGAAUUCCCAGUGUAGCGGUGAAAUGCGUAGAUAUUGGGAAGAACACCAGCGGCGAAAGCGUGUUACUGGGUCUGCACUGACACUGAGGGACGAAAGCUAGGGGAGCGAAAGGGAUUAGAUACCCCUGUAGUCCUAGCCGUAAACGAUGACAACUAGGCGUGGUUCGUAUCGACCCGAGCCGUGCCGUAGCCAACGCGUUAAGUUGUCCGCCUGGGGAGUACGCACGCAAGUGUGAAACUCAAAGGAAUUGACGGGGGCCCGCACAAGCGGUGGAGUAUGUGGUUUAAUUCGAUGCAACGCGAAGAACCUUACCAAGGCUUGACAUCCUCGGAACCCUGAUGAAAGUUAGGGGUGCCUUCGGGAGCCGAGAGACAGGUGGUGCAUGGCUGUCGUCAGCUCGUGUCGUGAGAUGUUGGGUUAAGUCCCGCAACGAGCGCAACCCACGUUUUUAGUUGCCAGCAUUCAGUUGGGCACUCUAGAGAGACUGCCGGUGACAAACCGGAGGAAGGUGUGGAUGACGUCAAGUCAGCAUGCCCCAUACGCCUUGGGCUACACACGUACUACAAUGCGUCGGACAAAGAGCAGCCAGCCAGCGAUGGUGAGCCAAUCUCAUAAACCGACGCUCAGUUCAGAUUGCAGGCUGCAACUCGCCUGCAUGAAGGCGGAAUCGCUAGUAAUCGCAGGUCAGCAUACUGCGGUGAAUACGUUCCCGGGCCUUGUACACACCGCCCGUCACACCAUGGGAGUUGGUCACGCCCGAAGUCGUUACUCUAACUGCUUGCAGAGGAGGACGCCGAAGGUGGGGCUGAUGACUGGGGUGAAGUCGUAACAAGGUAGCCGUACCGGAAGGUGUGGCUGGAUCACCUCCUUA